rnacentral:rRNA from 1 species
AGUGAACGCUGGCGGUAGGCCUAACACAUGCAAGUCGAACGGCAGCACAGUAAGAGCUUGCUCUUACGGGUGGCGAGUGGCGGACGGGUGAGGAAUACAUCGGAAUCUACUUUUUCGUGGGGGAUAACGUAGGGAAACUUACGCUAAUACCGCAUACGACCUACGGGUGAAAGCAGGGGAUCUUCGGACCUUGCGCGAUUGAAUGAGCCGAUGUCGGAUUAGCUAGUUGGCGGGGUAAAGGCCCACCAAGGCGACGAUCCGUAGCUGGUCUGAGAGGAUGAUCGGCCACACUGGAACUGGGACACGGUCCAGACUCCUACGGGAGGCAGCAGUGGGGAAUAUUGGACAAUGGGCGCAAGCCUGAUCCAGCCAUACCGCGUGGGUGAAGAAGGCCUUCGGGUUGUAAAGCCCUUUUGUUGGGAAAGAAAAGCAGCAGGUUAAUACCCCGCUGUUCCGACGGUACCCAAAGAAUAAGCACCGGCUAACUUCGUG